UUUAAUGUUUUAAUAUAUGUUCAGACCGAUGGUAUUUGAAAGGUUUUAUGUGUUUGGCGUCCACCAGCACUCCCCAGCCAAUGCAUACGCAUUAGCCAAGGGGUUCUGCUCUCACGAGCUAAACCUGUCUAGUGAAAGCAACAUGGAAGGUAAACAAUGGGUAAUAAAAGCUAAAAAAGCUCUCAAUAAUGAUCCUUCCGCAGGUUCACCUACGGAAA
rnacentral:misc_RNA from 1 species